rnacentral:misc_RNA from 1 species
CUCGCGGGCAGAAUACGAACGUCUAUACAGAUUCCAUUUCAUGGAAUUCUUGUUACAGAUUUUGGAAAAAUUAUACAGAAUCGUAAACGACAAACGAUAUCUCUAUAAAUUUUAGUUCAGAAAAUAGAUUGCAGAAAAUGGUGAAGAAAAUUGACGCACUUUCACUGCCACGUGGUUUCUCCUGUGACGCAACCACAGUGGUUACUGGUGACCGGAGCUUUUGAACUUACAAUUGUAAAAAUUGAAUGAAAAUUGACAGUUGGG